GUCAGUAACUCAGCCCUAAAGGGACUGAGCUUGUAAGAAAUUGCAAGCUGUACUGACCAGUCUAAGUCUUCACUGACUACGUUUUUUGAGUCACGACACCCCGGAAUGCGUUGCCCCUUCGGGGUUCAGCAGUCGCUCAUGGGGGAAACCCCCAAGACCGCGCUGCUUCACUAGUUCCCUGCUCUGUCAUUUGCAAUUAAACAGUUUUAAAGUCACUGAAACAGUGUUGCAAGUCUAAAAAGCUCUUAAAACAUUGACGUUCGCGCAGCGUGCCGUAGCAUCAGCUAACAUUAC
rfam:Aphanizomenon flos-aquae 2012/KM/D3 spades_50_len_T:28367, whole genome shotgun sequence.